CUUGUAGGUGGCUUCGUAAGUUGGACGUGAAAUCUCCGGGCUUAACUUGGAGACGCCGUUCAAUACUGCGAGGCUAGAGGAUGUCAGAGGGAAGUGGAAUUCCUGGUGUAGCAGUGAAAUGCGUAGAUAUCAGGAGGAACACCCGUGGCGAAGGCGGCUUCCUGGGGCAUCCCUGACACUGAGAAGCGAAAGCUAGGGGAGCAAACGGGAUUAGAAACCCCGGUAGUCCUAGCUGUAAACGAUGGAUGCUAGGUGUUGGCAGAUCUAACCCUGCCUGUGCCGAAGCUAACGCGUUAAGCAUCCCGCCUGGGAACUACGAGCGCAAGCUUAAA
rnacentral:rRNA from 1 species